rnacentral:rRNA from 1 species
GUCCACGCCCUAAACGAUGCACACUAGUUGUUGUGAGGCUCGACCUUGCAGUAAUGCAGUUAACACAUUAAGUGUGCCGCCUGGGGAGUACGGUCGCAAGAUUAAAACUCAAAGGAAUAGACGGGGACCCCGCACAAGCGGUGGAGCAUGUGGUUUAAUUCGACGAUACACGAAGAACCUUACCUGUACUUGACAUAGUAAGAACUUUCUAGAGAUAGAUUGGUGUCUGCUUGCAGAAACUUAUAUACAGGUGCUGCACGGCUGUCGU